CUUUUUUUGUGGAAAAAAAAUGAUGUGAUUUUUUUCAUUUUUUUUUUGUCCGCGACGUCGACUAUUUGCAGACAUCAUUUUUGUGCAAAAAAAAACAAAACAAAAAAAACCUUACAUUAUGAAGAAAAGAAAGAGAGAAUGGAGGAGUCCAUGCUCCACACACCAAACACAUUCCGUCUGAUGUCUCGACUUUGUGCAAAAAAAAAAAAAAAAAAAAAAAACAUAUGAGCCAGGCGUGCCUUUAGUUUAUAAAUGAAUUUCCAGACAGGGGUACGCGCCUUUCCUUAGCCGACUAGCCGAAACAUUGCAAAAAAAGUGCUCGCAUUAAAUAUUUUUUGCACAAAUCUAUAAGCCAGUCUAGUUCAUCAAUUCAAAGGAAAUGGAAGAGAACUCGAACACACAACAUAAUAUAGAUACCUCUAUCCACAUAUAUGUUUAGGAAUUCAAACCUCAUUUGCAAAUCAUUCCUCUCUUCUAGAACGAAGGAUUUUUAAUUUUUUUCUCUCUCAGAUACUUAAUAGACCUUUGAAGAGGAAGAUAAAGGAUUCAAUUCAUUACUCAAGCCUCAUCCUGAAGAAUAUCCAAGGCUAUACAAAUAGAUAAUUAACUAUACUUUGAUUCACAUAUAGUUAUUUAUCUUUGUAUAGCCGCCGCUACUGCGCAGAGCCCGGACAAUCAUAGUCUUUAUAUAUAUAUAUACCACAAUGACAUACAGUGAUCAUACUUCAUAGAUAAUACGGACAUUAUAAUAUAGACAUCCUUCAACUAUACCCCACAAAGGACAUCCAUCACCCCUGUGCUUCCUUGCUUACUUCAAUCGGAUUCGUCAACUUCAGGAACCAUUCAUUUUUUAGUAGUUUAGUGAUUUAAAAAAAAAAAAGAGAUUCUUUUUGGACAGCCGUUCUAUAUAUAUAAAAAAAUAGCGAAAAAAAGACCCACUCCCUAACGAUGACAUCAUUGCUCUUCAAAUCCAAGGAACAACAAAAUAAGACGUUUGAAUUCACUUUUUUCGUAAUAAAAAAAAAGAAUCUACAUUAAAAGUGGUUUAACCUCUCAGGAGAGACAUUAGGACUUUGACUUUGAUAAUAUUUUUUUGUCGAAUCAAAUGUUAAAAAAAGCCAGUCUUUUUCUCUCUCUUAGAGGUUCCAUUUCCUCAUCAUCAUAGCAUCGAUUCUUUAUCGUGGUCUUUGGAAAACGAAGAAGAAAGAGUUUUAAGGUAUUUUGCUACUAAUAUUCUUCUUGAUAGUCAUAAAUAUAAUCAUAUUAUGUUUAAAAGUAUAUAAAAAAUAUGAAAUACAAAAUAUAUUUUGCAUAAAA
rnacentral:lncRNA from 1 species